rnacentral:rRNA from 1 species
CGGGAGGGCAGCAGUGGGGACUAUGCACAUUGGGGAAACCUUGAUGCAGCCAUGCCGCGUGGUGUGAAGAAGGCUUCGGGUGUAAAGCACUUUCAGCAGUGAGAGGCGGUAUCGUUAUAGCGGUAUCGUUUGACGUUAGCUGCAGAAGAAGCACGGGCUAACUCCGUGCCAGCAGCCGCGGUAAUACGGAGGGUGCGAGCGUUAAUCGGAAUUACUGGGCGUAAAGCGCAUGCAGGCGGCUUGUUAAGCCAGAUGUGAAAGCCCGGGGCUCAACCUCGGAAUCGCAUUUGGAACUGGCAGGCUAGAGUCUUGUAGAGGGGGGUAGAAUUUCAGGUGUAGCGGUGAAAUGCGUAGAGAUCUGAAGGAAUACCGGUGGCGAAGGCGGCCCCCUGGACAAAGACUGACGCUCAGAUGCGAAAGCGUGGGGAGCAAACAGGAUUAGAUACCCUGGUAGUCCACGCCGUAAACGAUGUCUACUUGGAGGUUGGUGUCUUGAACACUGGCUUUCGGAGCUAACGCGUUAAGUAGACCGCCUGGGGAGUACGGUCGCAAGAUUAAAACUCAAAUGAAUUGACGGGGGCCCGCACAAGCGGUGGAGCAUGUGGUUUAAUUCGAUGCAACGCGAAGAACCUUACCUACUCUUGACAUCCAGAGAACUUAGCAGAGAUGCUUUGGUGCCUUCGGGAACUCUGAGACAGGUGCUGCAUGGCUGUCGUCAGCUCGUGUUGUGAAAUGUUGGGUUAAGUCCCGCAACGAGCGCAACCCUUAUCCUUGUUUGCCAGCACUUCGGGUGGGAACUCCAGGGAGACUGCCGGUGAUAAACCGGAGGAAGGUGGGGACGACGUCAAGUCAUCAUGGCCCUUACGAGUAGGGCUACACACGUGCUACAAUGGCAUAUACAGAGGGCAGCAAGACCGCGAGGUGGAGCGAAUCCCACAAAGUAUGUCGUAGUCCGGAUUGGAGUCUGCAACUCGACUCCAUGAAGUCGGAAUCGCUAGUAAUCGUGGAUCAGAAUGCCACGGUGAAUACGUUCCCGGGCCUUGUACACACCGCCCGUCACACCAUGGGAGUAGAGUCUGCCCGAGGCUCAGGAUAAGUCGUAACAAGUGCCCAUGCUUGGAGUGUG